rnacentral:misc_RNA from 1 species
AACCAUAGAAACCUGCGGAGUACCUGCGGAAGGAUCAUUAACACGCCGUGGAGGCCACCUUAAACAGGUAUGGCCUUCCACAUGGCCCACCCUUGUUUACCUUUAACCUGUUGCUUUGGUGGGCCUGCUGUAAGGCUGCCGGGGAAUGUCAUGUUUUCGGGCUUGUGCCCACCAAAGUCUUUACUGAACUCUUUUUGUUUUUUGGGCUGUCUGAGCAUUAAAAAGCAAUUUUUUAAAACU